rnacentral:rRNA from 1 species
UGGCGGCGAUACGCCCAGGGGCAACACCCCGUUCCCAUCCCGAACACGAUGGUUAAGCCCUGGGAGGCCGAUGGUACUUUACUGGAGACGGUACGGGAGAGCAGGUGGCUGCCAGAAUC